rnacentral:rRNA from 1 species
CAGCCGCCGCGGUAAUACGUAGGGUGCGAGCGUUAAUCGGAAUUACUGGGCGUGGAGCGUGCGCAGGCGGUUAUGUAAGACAGUUGUGAAAUCCCCGGGCUCAACCUGGGAACUGCAUCUGUGACUGCAUAGCUAGAGUAUGGUAGAGGGGGAUGGAAUUCCGCGUGUAGCAGUGAAAUGCGUAGAUAUGCGGAGGAACACCGAUGGCGAAGGCAAUCCCCUGGACCUGUACUGGCGCUCAUGCACGAAAGCGUGGGGAGCAAACAGGAUUAGAUACCCGCGUAGUCCCUGUCUCUUAUAC